rnacentral:rRNA from 1 species
UACGGAGGGAGCUAGCGUUGUUCGGAAUUACUGGGCGUAAAGCGCGCGUAGGCGGCUUUGUAAGUUAGAGGUGAAAGCCCGGGGCUCAACCCCGGAAUUGCCUUUAAGACUGCAUCGCUUGAAUCCGGGAGAGGUGAGUGGAAUUCCGAGUGUAGAGGUGAAAUUCGUAGAUAUUCGGAAGAACACCAGUGGCGGAAGGCGGCUCACUGGACCGGCAUUGACGCUGAGGUGCGAAAGCGUGGGGAGCAAACAGG